GUUCUGUAAAAAAUGAAUACCUUUAAAAGUAGUUGAUGUGAGAAGCGAAAGAGUUUUAUAAUAUCAACCAUCACGCCACAAGUAAGAUCACAGAAGGACUCGUAACACCCACUCAUAACAAGGUGGUGUGCAGUUUGCUAAAAAAAAUAAAUAAAUAAAUAAAAUCGCUGUAGAAAUGUAAAAAAUAAAUUCUCGUAACAUUUUAAAACCAUCGUCACUUUUCCCUUUCCGUAAUAAGCGCAACACAAACACUUUCUGGUCCGUUCCUCUCGUCACCUUCCACCUAAGCUUCUCCGUAAGGCUUCCCUGCUCCCUCAAGUAACAUAGUAGUGAUAAUGUUUCCUCCAUAAACCCCUCCCUCUCCUCCCUCUGCUCCUCCUCCUCCUCCUGUUGCAUUUAACGUAGAGAGUAGUUGGUCCCUCACCCUCCCAUCUGUAACCCUGAACAACCCUUGGUAGAGCUAAGGACGGCAAUGUUGCAGAAAGAAAAAAACGUAAAGACGAGAAAAAAACAUCAGUACGCCUCAAAGUAACCCGGGUAUUAUUAGAAAACUCGAGAACGUUCCAGCGCUCACUACCACAAGUUGAUCUGCGUAAUGUUCCGAGUCGUCCAUUAAUAUCUGUAAUACAAAGACAUUAUUAACCCAGUAGCUGUGGGGAUCAUGUUUCUUAAAGGCCCUCUAAGCGAAUUAAUGAGAAAAAAAAAAUCAUCACUCACGCAAACCAUUAUAUAAU